UCAUUUCCUUUAUAAGAUUAAUAAGCUUACCUUUUCUUGUGUAUGGUCGAUGUGGGCUCUAGAAAUACAAUACCAAACCCUUCUGUUUCUUUUGUUCAUGCCACAGAUGUAAUAGUCAUGCCCAAAAGCUUAAUAAACAUUGAAGAACUAAUAAUCCUAUUACAAAUUCAGAUGAUCUUUCUAGUACAUUGUAUCCUUCUUCUGAUUUUGGCUUCACAGCUUACACAUGUGUCCAUAGGAACAUAGUCUUGCAGACAUUGGUCUUGUCCUCCUUGAAAGCAACUUUCGUGUUAAUGAUUUCGUCUUGACUUCAUUUGUUGUGGUGUGCUUUUUAAAGACGAAACCUUGCACAGGCGAUAUGAAUAUUGUAGCUGCUACCUUCAUAGACAUCGAAAUUCGCAUGCUUAAACCAAACAUAGUUCCUUGCAAUGAAAUGUCGUAGAAUCCUUUAGUGAUGAAUUGAGAUUUUAAAGACUCCAUAAAUCAAUAACAAACAUUUCAAGACUCGCUUACACAACAUCAUCCAAUUUAGGUAUCUAGAAUUCAAACCAAAAAUUCAAAACUAAUAGGCAUUUGAAUUCUUUUAGUCUAAAGUUAGGCUAUUAUAAUCAAAAGAGGUACUUAUAUUGUCUUCUUUGCAAUAUUAAGCUUAAUUCUUUAAAUCAUAAAUCAUGCAGUCCGUAGAAAAACUGAUUAAAGAUUAAGGAAAUGUUUAGAUGAUGAUUGUUGUUUAGAGAGGAUUUUUCAUGUUUAUCACAUUGGGUAACCGGCAACAUCUAUAACUUUUGAGAAUUCUAUGUUAAUAAGUUUUAAGCUCACCGUGUAACAAUGCACAUUAGGAGCAUGCAAAGUAUCUAAGAGCAUCUUCAGUGUUCAUUUUUUCUAGGAUCUAUUGAGUUUUAUACACUACUAAAACAUGGUCCUUCUAUGCCAUAUCAUACGUAUGAAAGUCAUACCCUUUUGCUUUUUAUUAGUAAAAAAAAUACAACUACCCACAUACACACACACACACACACACACAUAUAUAUAUAUAUAUAUAUAUAUAUAUAUAUAUAUAUAUAUAUAUAUAUAUAUAUAUAUAUAUAUAUAUAUCACUAUAUUUUAUAAAGUUGAAUGCAAAGUGAUUUAUGUUUGGAUACAUAUUAAAAGUGAUUUGAACAAUAAAUUUAAGUGUUAAUAAUCAAUUCUAGAAUAAUUUAUCAAAAAAAAAAAAAUCAAAUGUACUGUAGAAUAAAAAACUCCAAUUUCUUGCUUCAAGGAGAAUUAAUUUUGGAGGCGUGACAACAAAAUGUUCAUUGCUCGCCUUUUGUAUCAUUUUAAUUGAUCUUCUUCCUUCAUUGUCCCGUCAAAUCACUAAAUUUAUUGUCACAUCAUCAAAUUAGAUUUCUUCAAAAAUCAUUAAAUUAGAUAAAAAUUAUAAUUUUGCCAAAAAAAUUGAUUUUGCCAAAUUAAAAGGAUCAAAAGAGUGUAUUUUAAGUCACUAUGGAAUACAAUGAUUGACAAAUUAAAAUAAGUUAACUAUUAAAAAAUAAAAGUUUGAACUUAUUUGCAGAGCUCUUUCAUAAUAACUCGUAUCCUCAAUUUUCAUAUUUCCCUUGGCGAUAGUAAACACAUGUGAAAGAAACAACACAAUUAUAAAUAAAUGGAAUCUAAUAUACUACUCUCUCCGUUUCAAAAUGAGUGUCGUUUGCACAUAUUAUAUUAAUUAAUGGAAUAAAGUAGUCAAAUGUCAUAGCAAUUUUACCAAAUUAUCUUAAUCAUCUAUUGAUUUGUUUUUCAUUAAAAAAAAUAUAUAAUACUUUAAAAGUAAUGUAAUAUAGUAUUAAUUGAAGGAUACAAUUGAAAAAAAGAAUGUCCAAAACAUACAUACUGCUAAUGGAAUAACACAUUUGGAAGACCCAUCAAGUAUAGUUUUGUUGCGUAUCCCUUCCUCUUCUGCAAUUUUGCUUACAUAUGAAACAUAGAUGAUUGCAUGAUGAUAUUCAAUCCUUUAAAUGAUUUACUAAUGGUUAGGAUUUCUGUUGUUGGAUGUAUUAGUAGACGAGAAAUGUGUGACGAAAAUAUAAAAGAUAUGUGCAGAUAAGAAUUAUCAAGUCACGACCUGCUUUUUGGUCAUGCCACAAAUGAAAAUACUCAAACUUUUUUUUUUUUGACAAAGAAAAUACUCAAACUAUUGAACAUUCAAGAACUCAUAAUUCUACUGAAAGGAUGAAGAAAGGAAAAGUGGACAGUGCACACAUGAUUUCAAUCUCUUGAAGCACAUACCUGAGACACAGGUGAGAGAAAGAGUUCUUUGUUUCUUGAUUCGAAAAUCUUCCAUAUCUUUUGUGGAUCUAAUAAUUAGUUAUUGAAAUCAAAUCUCAACACAACUUUUACUUAAGGAUUAACACUUCUUCAUAAAUUAAUAAUAUUGAUUUUUUUAGUAACUUUAUGAUAGAUCUCUAUAAUUUUAAUUUCAUAAUAGGGUGGUUAAUAAUGCUUUUCCUUGUUAUAUAUGUCAUUUUUUAUCUUUUCCUGUAAAUUAUUUUUGUUUAUUUAGCCCCUGUAAAAAAAAAUUGAAAUACCUCUUUAAUAGGUCAUUCAAAAAAAAAUUGCAGAAAUUUUCGUAUUUGAAUGACCUAAUAGGGGUAUUCAAAAAAAAAAAAAUUACAGUAAGCAAAACAAACAAAAAAAUUACAGAGGAGAAAACCAAAAAUGACAUAUAUUAUAGGGCGGUAAAACACCAUUAACACUUCAUAAUAUGACAUCAAUCCUUAUACAAUCCUUUAUGGAGCUUAUAAAAUAAAUAAACUCAAUAAUAUAAUACAAUUUACAUAAUAAUUAUUGAAAGCAUCUAUAAGACAUUGAUUCUUAUUUAUGGAAUUGUAAAGUAUAACCUAUAAUUAUCGGUACAAAAAUUAAAACUAUUUUACAAAAAUGAUUGAUGAAGAAGAAUUGCAUACCUCAAUUAGUUAGAGAUAGUGUCUUAUGAAAGUAUUGAAAUAAGAACAAGAAUAGAGAGAAGUAGAAAGAGAGAAAAGAGAU
rnacentral:lncRNA from 1 species